GACUUAGUAGCUCAGCUGGUAGAGCAACAGACUCUUAAUCUGUGGGUCGAGGGUUCGAACCCCUCCUGGGUCA
rnacentral:tRNA from 1 species